AAUUGCAUUCGAUACUGCUUUACUAGAGUAAUGGAGAGGUAAUCGGAAUUUUCGGUGUAGCAGUGAAAUGCGUAGAUAUCGAAAGGAAGACCAAUGGCGAAAGCAGAUUACUGGACAUUUACUGACGCUGAGGCUCGAAGGCUAGGGUAGCGAAAAGGGAUUAGAUACCCCUGUAGUCCUAGCAGUAAACGAUGUGUGCUUGGUGUGGGAGGGUUCGACCCCUUCUGUGCCGGAGUUAACGCGUUAAGCACACCGCCUGGGGAGUACGGUCGCAAGGCUAAAACUCAAAGAAAUUGACGGGGACCCGCACAAGCGGUGGAGUAUGUGGCUUAAUUCGAUGCAACGCGAAGAACCUUACCUAGGCUUGACAUGUAUCGCUAAAUCUGUGAAACCAGAGGAGUCUUCGGACACUUUACACAGGUGCUGCAUGGCCGUCGUCAGCUCGUGUCGUGAGAUGUUUGGUUAAGUCCAGCAACGAGCGCAACCCCUAUGGCUAGUUACUAACAUGUAAAGAUGAGGACUUUAGUCAGACUGCCCAGAUCAACUGGGAGGAAGGUGGGGAUGACGUCAGGUCAGUAUGGCCCUUACGCCUAGGGCUGC
rnacentral:rRNA from 1 species